rnacentral:rRNA from 1 species
GACGAACGCUGGCGGCGUGCUUAACACAUGCAAGUCGAACGGAAAGGCCUCUUUCGGGGGGUACUCGAGUGGCGAACGGGUGAGUAACACGUGAGUAACCUGCCCUUGACUUUGGGAUAACUUCAGGAAACUGGGGCUAAUACCGGAUAGGAGCUCCUGCUGCAUGGUGGGGGUUGGAAAGUUUCGGCGGUUGGGGAUGGACUCGCGGCUUAUCAGCUUGUUGGUGGGGUAGUGGCUUACCAAGGCUUUGACGGGUAGCCGGCCUGAGAGGGUGAGCGGCCACAUUGGGACUGAGAUACGGCCCAGACUCCUACGGGAGGCAGCAGUGGGGAAUAUUGCACAAUGGGUGGAAGCCUGAUGCAGCAACGCCGUGUGCGGGAUGACGGCCUUCGGGUUGUAAACCGCUUUCGCUCAUGACGAAGCUUUGUGUGACGGUAGUGGGUAAAGAAGCACCGGCUAACUACGUG